rnacentral:rRNA from 1 species
GACCCCGCACAAGCAGUGGAGCAUGUGGUUUAAUUCGAUGCAACGCGAAGAACCUUACCAGGUCUUGACAUCCUUUGACCACUCUAGAGAUAGAGCUUUCCCUUCGGGGACAAAGUGACAGGUGGUGCAUGGUUGUCGUCAGCUCGUGUCGUGAGAUGUUGGGUUAAGUCCCGCAACGAGCGCAACCCUUAUUACUAGUUGCCAGCAUUUAGUUGGGCACUCUAGUGAGACUGCCGGUGACAAACCGGAGGAAGGUGGGGAUGACGUCAAAUCAUCAUGCCCCUUAUGACCUGGGCUACACACGUGCUACAAUGGAUGGUACAACGAGUCGCAAGGUCGCGAGGCCAAGCUAAUCUCUUAAAACUAUUCUCAGUUCGGAUUGUAGGCUGCAACUCGUCUACAUGAAGCCGGAAUCGCUAGUAA